CCUACGGGAGGCUGCAGUGGGGAAUAUUGGACAAUGGGCGAAAGCCUGAUCCAGCCAUGCCGCGUGUGUGAAGAAGGCCUUCGGGUUGUAAAGCACUUUCAGUGGGGAAGAAAGCCUUGGGGCUAAUACCCUCGAGGAAGGACAUCACCCACAGAAGAAGCACCGGCUAACUCCGUGCCAGCAGCCGCGGUAUACGGAGGGUGCGAGCGUUAAUCGGAAUUACUGGGCGUAAAGCGCGCGUAGGCGGUCUGAUAAGCCGGUUGUGAAAGCCCCGGGCUCAACCUGGGAACGGCAUCCGGAACUGUCAGGCUAGAGUGCAGGAGAGGAAGGUAGAAUUCCCGGUGUAGCGGUGAAAUGCGUAGAGAUCGGGAGGAAUACCAGUGGCGAAGGCGGCCUUCUGGACUGACACUGACGCUGAGGUGCGAAAGCGUGGGUAGCAAACAGGAUUAGAUACCCGGGUAGUC
rnacentral:rRNA from 1 species